rnacentral:tRNA from 1 species
GCGCCCUUAGCUCAGUUGGAUAGAGCAACGACCUUCUAAGUCGUGGGCCGCAGGUUCGAAAUCCUGCAGGGCGCGCCA